UACAGAGGUCUCAAGCGUUGUUCGGAUUCAUUGGGCAUAAAGGGUGCGUAGGUGGCGGGGCAAGUCCGCUGUGAAAGUCCAGGGCUCAACCCUGGAAUGCCGGUGGAAACUGUCGGGCUAGAGUCCGGAAGAGGCGAGUGGAAUUCCUGGUGUAGCGGUGAAAUGCGCAGAUAUCGGGAGGAACACCAAUUGCGAAGGCAGCUCGCUGGGACGUUACUGACGCUGAGACGCGAAAGCGUGGGGAGCAAACAGG
rnacentral:rRNA from 1 species